GCUUUUAAGGUGUACUUUUAAUCAAUUGUGUUGCCAUUUUGCACAGUUCUUAUAAUCUAAAUAUUGUCAAUAUUCUAAAACACUAGAGGGAAUUACUCCAAAGUAAAUAAACUGCUGUAGAGCCAUCUCUUCAAAUUAAUUUAGCUUGCUUUUUUAUUUAAACUUAGUUUAAAUUAUUUAGUGUAUAUGUAUGUAUGUAGGUUUUUUUAUUUAUUUUUGUAAGUCUGUAUCGUCUUGCUUUAAACGUGUACUGUCCCUUUAAUUAAAGGCAUACGCUGCAUUUCACGUAAACAUUUUUUAUUUUGCUUUUUUUUUCUGUAUGUUAAUUUUUUUUAUUAUGUAGUUGUUUAUUGAAUUCGAAUGCUUAAGUUUUUCUAAAAAUAAUAUUUGUGAUGAGGACGGAGCACAAGGUCGGAAGGUCGCGUCAGACCACUGUCACGUGACUGAUGAUGUCACAGCAGACUCUUUCCCAGCUGUCCAAUCAAACUACAGUCGUCUCUUGCGUGAUCUUGAAGCGCGAGGUAGUGUCCGCGAGAGAGAAUACCGUAGCGAGUUACUCAUGCGAUCAUCAUCAGCCAGAACGGAUCGGACACAUGGCGGCAGAGACAUUCAGAUCGUUAAGGCUGUGUCGGUGUCAUAUGUCUCUGUUACGGAGGUGUCCUCGGAUCAUAGGUCCACAAGUACUCAAUCAGAUGUUCUUCUCCUCACACAGAGUUGUAAAGAGUCACAGUCUCUUUAGGAAGCUGUUGAUUGGCGUCUCGGUGGGCGUGCCGCUCGUGGUCGGGGUGCGAUAUGUGGUCUCAGAGCCCAGAGAGAGGAGGAAGAUGAAGAUACUAGCAGAGGGAGUCGGGCGCUUCUGCAGGUCUCUCUACGUCGGGCUUAUGAUAUCAGCGGAUUACUGGUGGACAUCCAACAUUGUUCUGCGUGGCAUGGAUGAGAGCAGUGCAGAGUAUGAGGAGCUCAUGUCAGCGUGUCAUCAGAGAGCAGCCAGUAGUAUGGUAGACGGGGCCAUCCAGAACGGAGGCCUGUAUAUUAAGCUGGGACAGGGACUGUGUGCAUUCAACCAUCUUCUGCCUCCAGAGUACCUCCGCACCCUGCAUGUGCUGGAGGAUAAAGCGCUCAACAGAAGAUACAAAGAGGUAGAUGCUUUAUUCCAGGAGGACUUCAACAUGACUCCUGAUAAAAUGUUCAGGACGUUUGACUACGAGCCUGUGGCUGCUGCGAGUCUGGCACAAGUACACAAGGCCGAACUGCAUGAUGGGACACCUGUGGCUGUAAAGGUGCAGUAUAUUGAUCUCAGGGAUCGCUUUGAUGGUGAUAUCAGGACUCUGGAGAUUUUGCUGGACAUAGUGAAAUUUAUGCACCCCAGCUUUGGCUUCCGCUGGGUCUUACAGGACUUGAAAGGAACGCUGGCACAAGAGCUGGAUUUUGAGAAUGAAGGCAGGAAUUCUGAACGCUGUGCAGAGGAACUGAAGCAUUUUAAGUUUAUAGUUGUGCCCAAAGUGUUCUGGGACCAGACCAGCAAGAGGGUCCUUACAGCAGAGUUCUGUGAUGGAUGCAAAAUCAACAACGUGGAGGAGAUUCAGCGUCAGGGACUGAGUCUGAAAGACACAGCUGAUAAACUUGUCCGCACAUUCGCAGAGCAGAUCUUUUACACCGGCUUUAUUCACGCCGAUCCUCAUCCUGGAAAUGUACUGGUAAGAAGAGGUCCAGAUAAAAAAGCUGAGUUGGUUCUGUUGGAUCAUGGGCUGUAUGAAAGCCUCAGUAAAAGUGACAGAGCGGCUCUGUGUCAGCUGUGGCGAUCCAUAAUCCUGCGGGAUGAAACCGGCAUGAAGACAUACGCAAAUCAGCUCGGGGUCAAAGAAUACUUUCUGUUCUGUGAGAUGCUACUGCAGCGGCCAAUCAACAUGUGGGAGUUUGGCCUGGGUAACAUCCUGACUCGAGAGGAGACGUCGUACAUGCGUGACAUGGCCAUGAACCGCUUUGAUCAAAUCAUGCAGGUGUUGAAGUCUAUGCCGCGGCCCAUGCUGCUGGUUUUCAGGAACAUUAACACUGUCCGCUGUAUCAACAUCACUCUGGGAGCACCAGUUGACCGCUACUUCAUCAUGGCCAAGUGUGAGGGGAUGGGGCAGAACUCAGGCCAAUGACACCAGGAUUCUUCCGAAACUGUCAUUCUUCCGCUGGGUCUGGACCUUUUGGGAGAGCGUCAAAUUUGAAUUCGCUUUAAGGUCAGAGAUGGCGCUCAUGAGUGUCACUCACUCUCUGCUUAAGCUGCUGUCUUACUGCAAUAUCAUCACUCUGGACCAAGACGUGUAUCAGUAUCUGAAAUGAAGCGUCACAUACCUCAUCAUCAUCAUCACCUCUGAGUCUGGUUUCACUGAUCCUGGAUAUGGCUGCUUGUUUUUUUUAAUGACUUUUUCAUUUGAGCUUGGCCUCUCAGGAACCUCUCACACACUCACUCUCGCUCGCUGUUUAAUUUUAAUUUUUUAAUUUUGCUUUUAUCAAUUAUGAUGUUCUGGCAUUUAAAAGACUUCUUUCAUUCAAGAAGUUGUGAGACCUACAAUAGUUUCUUUUGUAGGCAUCAGAGUUUGAAACGCUAAAAUAUGAUGAUCAUUUACUGGUGGCAAUAAUGGGGGAAAAAAAAAAAAAAAAAUCUAUUUGAACAAAGUAAAUGUUUAUGUUUAAAACCUUUUAUGUCAUGAGGUUUAACAAUUUAUUGCAAUGAGUUAUAGAAACCUUUUUUAUUAAUUGUAUUUUAAAAAUUGUGCCAGUUUAUUUUGUAUUUAUAUGGAUUUCACUGCUUAACUUGAUUGCGAAUAUACAUUUGGAGCUGAGAGGUGUUGCGCUGUCAAACAUUAACGUGUAACCUACAAUGCAAUAGUAUUUUGAAUAUAAAUCAUUUAUAAGAGGCUAUUAUUUCAGUUUUGUUUGUGAAAUGUUUUAAUUUUCCAGAGUCCAGACUGAUGCUCUUGUAUCUCCUGGAGUCUCAAACUCUUAAAGUUAGCAUGAAAUGAAAAUAAACCCUUUCUAUUUUGUAAA